UCCGGUAUCGGAAUUCCUACCGUCCGGUGGAAUCUCGGAUGUCGGAAGCCUCUAGUAGGGUAGAAACAUGUUUUCAUAAAAUGUUUUAAGGUAUUUCAUGGUUUUAAGUAUGAAGAUUUAAUGAGUUUUUGCAUGAAAAGUCUUUGGAGGAAAACCCAGGUUCGGCCGCCGAAAGUCAAGUUCGGCCGCCGAACAUGCAUGCGUUUUGGAGGCACGUUAGGUCCCCGAAAGCAUGAGUGAGGGAAGUCC
rnacentral:lncRNA from 1 species